UCGGCAAUGGGGGAAACCCUGACCGAGCAACGCCGCGUGAAUGAUGACGGCCUUCGGGUUGUAAAAUUCUGUGGCGAGGAACGAAUGGCAAGGAGAGGAAAUGCUCUUUGUUUGACGGUACCUCGCUAGAAAGCCACGGCUAACUACGUGCCAGCAGCCGCGGUAAUACGUAGGUGGCAAGCGUUAUCCGGAAUUAUUGGGCGUAAAGAGUGAGCAGGCGGUUUUUUAAGUCUGAAGUCAAAUCCUGUGGCUCAACCACAGUUCGCUUUGGAAACUGAAGAACUAGAGUGCGGGAGAGGUAAGCGGAAUUCCAUAUGUAGCGGUGAAAUGCACAGAUAUAUGGAGGAACACCGGUGGCGAAGGCGGCUUACCAGCCCGAUACUGACGCUCAGUCACGAAAGCGUGGGGAGCAAAUAGGCUUAGAUACCCUAGUAGUCCACGCCGUAAACGUUGAGGACCUGAUGCCGGAGUAUUUCGGUGUCGUAGCUAACGCGUUAAGUCCUCCGCCUGGGUACUACGUUCGCAAGAAUAAAACUUAAAGGAAUUGACGGGGGCCCGCACAAGCAGUGGAGCAUGUGGUUUAAUUCGUCGCUACGCGAAAAACCUUACCAGGGUUUGACAUCCCGCUAAAAGUCUUGGAAACAAGAUCAUAGUUAUAGCGGUGAAAGGUGGUGCAUGGUUGUCGUCAGCUCGUGUCGUGAGAUGUUGGGUUAAGUCCCCUAACGAGCGCAACCCUUGUCUCUAUUUGCCAUCAUUAAGUUGGGAACUAUAGAGAGACUGCCGGUGCAAACCGGAGGAAGAUGGGGAUGACGUCAAAUCAUCAUGCCCCUUAUGCCCUGGGCCACACACGUGCUACAAUGGCCGGUACAGAGAGAAGCAAUCCCGUGAGGAGGAGCAAAUCUCACAAAGCCGGUCUCAGUUCGGAUUGGAGUCUGCAACUCGACUCCAUGAAGCUGGAAUUGCUAGUAAUCGCAGAUCAGCAUGCUGCGGUGAAUACGUUCCCGGGCCUUGUACACACUGCCCGUCACACCAUGAGAGUCGGCAAUACUCGAAGUCGUUAUCUUAACCUGCAAGGGAGGGAGGCGCCUAAGGUAGGGCUGAUGAUUGGGGUUAAGUCGUAACAAGGUAUCCCUACGGGAACGUGGGGAUG
rnacentral:rRNA from 1 species